UACGUAGGCAGCGAGCGUUGUUCGGAGUUACUGGGCGUAAAGGGUGUGUAGGCGGUUGUUUAAGUUUGGUGGGAAAUCUCCCGGCUCAACUGGGAGGGUGCGCCGAAUACUGAAUGACUUGGAGUGCGGGAGAGGAAAGUGGAAUUCCUGGUGUAGCGGUGAAAUGCGUAGAUAUCAGGAGGAACACCGGUGGUGUAGACGGCUUUCUGGACCGUAACUGACGCUGAGACACGAAAGCGUGGGUAGCAAACAGG
rnacentral:rRNA from 1 species